rnacentral:rRNA from 1 species
GGCUAACGCUAGGCGGCGUGUCUUAGCCAUGCAAGUCGAGCGGACUUAUGGGGUAACUUAUAAGUCAGCGGCGGACGGCGGAGUAACACGUAGCUAACCUACCCUCUGGACGGGGAUAACCUACCGAAAGGUGGGCUAAUACCCGAUGUAGUCAUCCUGUAUAGGGGUGAUGAAAGGUGGGCUUCUGUUUACAAGCUCAUGCUGGAGGAGGGGGCUGCGGCCUAUCAGGUAGUUGGUAGGGUAAUAGCCUACCAAGCCGAUGACGGGUAGCCGGCCUGAGAGGGUGACCGGCCCGAGGGGCACUGAGAUACGGGUCCCACUCCUACGGGAGGCAGCAGGCUAGAAAUUUGGGCAAUGGGGGAAACCCUGACCCAGUGACGCCGCGUGCAGGAAGGAGCCCUUCGGGGUGUAAACUGCUGUCGUGUAGGGAGAAGGGUACUAAGGUGAACAAUCUUAGUACUUGACGGUACUACAGGAGGAAGCCCAGGCUAACCUCGUG